rnacentral:misc_RNA from 1 species
AAGGAAUUUGUGGAUGGGGGAAGGAAAUAAUUUCUAAAAAAUUCAAAACUUUACCUACACAAUCAUCUAAUGUUAUAGGGCUGGUUUAAUCCUGCAUUUGCUUGUUUGUUACUUUCAGUCACUUAAUUCUAUACCAUCAUUGUUUGUAUCAGCUGUUAGCAAGUUUUGUUUAUUAUUUUAUCAGAAUUUAUUUAUUUUCUGACAUUUUCUUUACUACUUUUUUUUACAAGCUUGGAAUUCUUAAAUGAA